GGGUUGUGAGGUUAAGCGACUAAGCGUACACGGUGGAUGCCCUGGCAGUCAGAGGCGAUGAAGGACGUGCUAAUCUGCGAUAAGCGUCGGUAAGGUGAUAUGAACCGUUAUAACCGGCGAUUUCCGAAUGGGGAAACCCAGUGUGAUUCGUCACACUAUCAUUAACUGAAUCCAUAGGUUAAUGAGGCGAACCGGGGGAACUGAAACAUCUAAGUACCCCGAGGAAAAGAAAUCAACCGAGAUUCCCCCAGUAGCGGCGAGCGAACGGGGAGCAGCCCAGAGCCUGAAUCAGUGUGUGUGUUAGUGGAAGCGUCUGGAAAGGCGCGCGAUACAGGGUGACAGCCCCGUACACAAAAAUGCACAUGCUGUGAGCUCGAUGAGUAGGGCGGGACACGUGGUAUCCUGUCUGAAUAUGGGGGGACCAUCCUCCAAGGCUAAAUACUCCUGACUGACCGAUAGUGAACCAGUACCGUGAGGGAAAGGCGAAAAGAACCCCGGCGAGGGGAGUGAAAAAGAACCUGAAACCGUGUACGUACAAGCAGUGGGAGCACAGAGCAAUCUGUGUGACUGCGUACCUUUUGUAUAAUGGGUCAGCGACUUAUAUUCUGUAGCAAGGUUAACCGAAUAGGGGAGCCGAAGGGAAACCGAGUCUUAACUGGGCGUUAAGUUGCAGGGUAUAGACCCGAAACCCGGUGAUCUAGCCAUGGGCAGGUUGAAGGUUGGGUAACACUAACUGGAGGACCGAACCGACUAAUGUUGAAAAAUUAGCGGAUGACUUGUGGCUGGGGGUGAAAGGCCAAUCAAACCGGGAGAUAGCUGGUUCUCCCCGAAAGCUAUUUAGGUAGCGCCUCGUGAAUUCAUCUCCGGGGGUAGAGCACUGUUUCGGCAAGGGGGUCAUCCCGACUUACCAACCCGAUGCAAACUGCGAAUACCGGAGAAUGUUAUCACGGGAGACACACGGCGGGUGCUAACGUCCGUCGUGAAGAGGGAAACAACCCAGACCGCCAGCUAAGGUCCCAAAGUCAUGGUUAAGUGGGAAACGAUGUGGGAAGGCCCAGACAGCCAGGAUGUUGGCUUAGAAGCAGCCAUCAUUUAAAGAAAGCGUAAUAGCUCACUGGUCGAGUCGGCCUGCGCGGAAGAUGUAACGGGGCUAAACCAUGCACCGAAGCUGCGGCAGCGACGCUUAUGCGUUGUUGGGUAGGGGAGCGUUCUGUAAGCCUG
rnacentral:rRNA from 1 species